rnacentral:tRNA from 1 species
AGCAGGUGGUGUAGUGGUUAGAACUGUUGCUUUGCGAUCAAAAGAUUUGGGUUCAAAUCCCAGCUCUCACUGUUA